AAUAAGAAAGCAGUGCUUCUGUUCUUAGUUUCGACCUAAGAUUUAGUAAUCUUUUACUCUUAUUU
rnacentral:tRNA from 1 species